AGAGUUUGAUCCUGGCUCAGAGCGAACGCUGGCGGCAGGCUUAACACAUGCAAGUCGAACGGGCACCUUCGGGUGUCAGUGGCAGACGGGUGAGUAACACGUGGGAACGUGCCCUUCGGUUCGGAAUAACUCAGGGAAACUUGAGCUAAUACCGGAUACGCCCUUACGGGGAAAGGUUUACUGCCGAAGGAUCGGCCCGCGUCUGAUUAGCUAGUUGGUGGGGUAAUGGCCUACCAAGGCGACGAUCAGUAGCUGGUCUGAGAGGAUGAUCAGCCACACUGGGACUGAGACACGGCCCAGACUCCUACGGGAGGCAGCAGUGGGGAAUAUUGGACAAUGGGCGAAAGCCUGAUCCAGCCAUGCCGCGUGAGUGAUGAAGGCCUUAGGGUUGUAAAGCUCUUUCGACGGGGACGAUAAUGACGGUACCCGUAGAAGAAGCCCCGGCUAACUUCGUGCCAGCAGCCGCGGUAAUACGAAGGGGGCUAGCGUUGCUCGGAAUCACUGGGCGUAAAGGGCGCGUAGGCGGCCGAUCAAGUCAGAGGUGAAAGCCCAAGGCUCAACCUUGGAAUUGCCUUUGAUACUGUUCGGCUAGAGACCGGAAGAGGUUAGUGGAACUGCGAGUGUAGAGGUGAAAUUCGUAGAUAUUCGCAAGAACACCAGUGGCGAAGGCGGCUAACUGGUCCGGUUCUGACGCUGAGGCGCGAAAGCGUGGGGAGCAAACAGGAUUAGAUACCCUAGUAGUCC
rnacentral:rRNA from 1 species